UACGUAGGGUGCAAGCGUUGUCCGGAAUUAUUGGGCGUAAAGAGCUCGUAGGCGGUGUGUCGCGUCGGCCGUGAAAACCUGCAGCUUAACUGUGGGCUUGCGGUCGAUACGGGCAUCACUGGAGUUCGGCAGGGGAGACUGGAAUUCCUGGUGUAGCGGUGAAAUGCGCAGAUAUCAGGAGGAACACCGGUGGCGAAGGCGGGUCUCUGGGCCGAUACUGACGCUGAGGAGCGAAAGCGUGGGGAGCGAACAGG
rnacentral:rRNA from 1 species